UACGGGGGGAGCAAGCGUUGUUCGGAUUUACUGGGCGUAAAGGGCGCGUAGGCGGCCACCGCAAGUCAAUUGUGAAAUCUCCGGGCUUAACUCGGAAAGGUCAACUGAUACUGCGGGGCUAGAGUGCGGAAGGGGCAACUGGAAUUCCUGGUGUAGCGGUGAAAUGCGCAGAUAUCAGGAGGAACACCAAUUGCGAAGGCAGCUCGCUGGGACGUUACUGACGCUGAGACGCGAAAGCGUGGGGAGCAAACAGG
rnacentral:rRNA from 1 species